rnacentral:rRNA from 1 species
GUGCCAGCAGCCGCGGUAAUACGGAGGAUCCAAGCGUUAUCCGGAAUCAUUGGGUUUAAAGGGUCCGUAGGCGGGAUAAUAAGUCAGUGGUGAAAGUCUGCAGCUUAACUGUAGAAUUGCCAUUGAUACUGUUGUUCUUGAAUUAUUAUGAAGUGGUUGGAAUGAGUAGUGUAGCGGUGAAAUGCAUAGAUAUUACUCAGAACACCUAUUGCGAAGGCAGAUCACUAAUAAUAUAUUGACGCUGAUGGACGAAAGCGUAGGUAGCGAACAGGAUUAGAUACCCUGGUAGUCUACGCCGUAAACGAUGGUUACUAGCUGUCCGGCCUAAUUGAGGGCUGGGUGGUUAAGCGAAAGUGAUAAGUAACCCACCUGGGGAGUACGUUCGCAAGAAUGAAACUCAAAGGAAUUGACGGGGGCCCGCACAAGCGGUGGAGCAUGUGGUUUAAUUCGA